GGUUCGGUUGGGCUAUUUUAAGGUACAAGCCUGUAAAGCUAUCAAGCGUGCUUUUAUAGAACUCUUCAAAGAAUAAAAAAUUAAAAAACUUAACGGCGAGCAAGAUCGAGUUAAAAUGGCACAGCCCUCCAAAGAGCCAUGCAAGAAAGAGGCUUGUGACAUUCAGGCCUGUCUCACCAAGAACAACUUUCUCCCUCAAAGGUGCUAAACAUUUGUUCGUUUUCAACCCUAUUGGCCUCAUGAACAAUCUCAGCUUGUCCUCUACAUUCCAACUCAUUGAUCCCCAAAAUUUAGUGUUACACUGAAGUGCUUCACUUCAGAUUGAAUUGUUGUAAAUUUAGUCUAGCAUGCCAAGUGGGCUUGCAUUGGUAUGACAUAGACAGAAAACGAUACAUUAGCAAGCUCAUUAGCUAAUCAUCUGUCAAGGUUUCACUCUUAGGAGAAUUAAUUUGUCAAUGCAAAUUCCAAGUUUUCUUUCUCAUCGUUUGCAAUCUUAUGGUUUCUAUGUCAUCCCAAGUGGAUAUUACACUUUUCUUUAUGCUGCUUAAUCUGUAUAAUAUGUGCUUCGCUGUAAUCAAUUUUCAUUGCAUUCUCUAUAUCUUCUUGAGAUCUGACUGUCAACCCAACUCUAAAAGGCUUUAUGGCCUUGUCGGUUUGACAUUUUCACAUCAUCCUCUCACUCUCUAUUUAGCCCAUAGAGCAUGAAUUUGCUACUAGGUUCUUGUCAAGGGACUUUUAUUGGGGCAUUUUUUUACUCAACUUCCAUUACCCACCAUUUAUCUCUACGUCCCUAUAUGUGUGUAGCCUUUUUUUAGCAUAGAUAAGUAAAUGAAAGUUCUAAAUCGGGUUUACUGUGGUGAAAAAAAAAAUGAUCCUUGCUAUUGGUACUAAGUGGACAGUUUCCAUUGUUAACGGAGGAGGGCCGGAUCUUCAUCAAUGUGCUAUGAAUCAUGCAAUAAACCUUGCUAGAUAGCUUAUGUAAUUCUUCUCUGAUGCCGUCAUAGCCAUAUUUACUUUGUAGUUAACACGUGUUCAGCUAUUCUAAAAGUGAUCACUUGUAAAUUUGAGUUUUUAUCAGCGGAGAGACACUAACUGUAUUUUUGUGUAUAGUCAUGUUUAUGAUUACUCAAAACCAUUUGUAGCUUCAUGGGAACCACAGACAAACUUGCUUCAAACAUUAUGUUAUCUUUUUGUAUGCUACGGCAGUUGUAGUAUAGUCACUCUUUUGCUGUUGUUGGACCACAAA